AUCACCAUACACCAUUCAUUCGCCACACAUGCACAUCUUGAUUUGACUUUUUGACUUGUUCUUCUGGAUCCAUGGUUUGACUAUGCAAUAAAUGUCUUGUAAGUAUGUAUUAGCUGUCUCCCACCUAUGAGCUCCAGAUAUCAAAAGCCUUAUUAGAGUAGGGUGAGAGAGAAGGCAAUGUCACUAUGCCUCAUACCAAAAAUACCACAUACUUUGAGAGAAGGCAUACACUAUUAUUGCCUUGGUAAGGAUCCAGAAAUACCACAAAAGAGAGACUAGAG
rnacentral:lncRNA from 1 species